ACAGUUCUUUCUAUUCUAUUCUACCACACUUGUAUAUGAUACUCAUUAAUGAUAGACCCACCUUUUAAACCCACCAGAAGAUUAGGAGAACUUCAAUACUUCCACAUAUUCCUAACAUGAGUGAUGAAAUUUUUCCUGUGUGUGAGGAGAUCAUGGCAUCAUCUGACUCUGUAGCCGAAACAGGAAUGAAACUCUAUAUGUAGUUUAAGCUGGCCUUAGUCAAUGCAAGCUUCUACUUCAGACUCCUGAAUCAUGGAAUAAGCAUGGUGGCCAUGUUCAUCAGACCCACAUUGUGAGACCAGACCGCAACAGUUGGCAGGGGGGGGCUCAGGGCCAUGGAAUGUGCCUUCCACAUGGAGAUGACCAUCAACCAGAGCCUGCUCAACCUGCACGAGCUGGCCAAGGGGAAAGGUGAUGCUCACCUCUGCAACUUCCUGGAGCAGCACUGUCUGGGCGAGCAGGCCAAUGUCCUCAAGAAGAUGGGCGGCUACCUGACCAACCUGCGCCAGAUGGGGGCACCAGAGUACGGCUUGGCCGAGUACCUCUUUGACAAGCUCAGCCUGUCCUGAAGCUUCAACUGGACUGAACUGGGAUGUCCCCACUGCCAUGGGGUCUUCCUCUGGUCAUUAGACCUGGCGUCAGUUCAUGUACAUUUGAAGCAAGUUCACUCGUUUUCUGGCUCUGUUUGCAAUAAAUUUGUUUGUUUCAAAGCAAAA